AACGAACGCUGGCGGCAGGCCUAACACAUGCAAGUCGAGCGGACCUUUCGGGGUCAGCGGCGGACGGGUGAGUAACGCGUGGGAAUAUGCCCUUCUCUACGGAAUAGUCCUGGGAAACUGGGGGUAAUACCGUAUACGCCCUUUGGGGGAAAGAUUUAUCGGGGAAGGAUUAGCCCGCGUUGGAUUAGGUAGUUGGUGGGGGAAUGGCCUACCAAGCGGACGAUCCAUAGCUGGUUUGAGAGGAUGAUCAGCCACACUGGGACUGAGACACGGCCCAGACUCCUACGGGAGGCAGCAGUGGGGAAUCUUAGACAAUGGGGGCAACCCUGAUCUAGCCAUGCCGCGUGAGUGAUGAAGGCCUUAGGGUUGUAAAGCUCUUUCAGCUGGGAAGAUAAUGACGGUACCAGCAGAAGAAGCCCCGGCUAACUCCGUG
rnacentral:rRNA from 1 species